GUGAGGAAUUUUCCACAAUGGACGAAAGUCUGAUGGAGCGACACCGCGUGAAGGAUGACGGCCCUCGGGUUGUAAACUUCUUUUCUUCGGGAACAAUCAAUUGAGCGUACCGAUGGAAUAAGCCACGGCUAAUCUCGUGCCAGCAGCCGCGGUAAGACGAGAGUGGCGAACGUUAACCGGAAUUACUGGGCGUAAAGCGUCCGCAGGGGGAUGUUCACGUCGGGUGUUAAAGCACAGCGCUCAACGCUGUGUUCGCGCUCGAUACGGAGCAUCUAGAGGAUUGAAGGGGCACACGGAAUUCCAGGAGUAGGGGUAAAAUCCGUAGAUACCUGGAGGAACGCCAAUAGCGAAGGCAGUGUGCUGGGCAAUACCUGACCCUCAGGGACGAAAGCGUGGGGAGCAAACGGGAUUAGAUACCCGGGUAGUCC
rnacentral:rRNA from 1 species